rnacentral:rRNA from 1 species
AUGCGUGAUACACCUGUCACCGUACCGCCUUCCGACAUCGGAAACCAUAUCGGCUGCUUGCUGGAUCAGACAUAUGGGACGGACGUGUCGUUUACCGUCGACGGCAAGACAUUCCUAGCGAACCGAGCCAUCCUUGCAGCCCGCUCACCGGUCUUCAGGGCAGAGCUUUUUGGGUCCAUGGCCGAAGCUACAGUGUCAUCCAUCACAGUGCACGAUAUCAUGCCUUCAACAUUCAAUUGUAUGCUUCGGUUCAUAUACACGGAUGAGUUUCCUACUACAGAAGAUAACCCCUCCACUGAGGUAUUAUUUGAUUCACUUGCCGCUCCAGAUCGCUACGCGCUAGACCGUCUAAAGCUUAUGUGUGUCCAAAAGUUAUGAGAUAAUGUGUCAAUGGAUACAGUUAUUGAUAUUCAAGCUUGCGCUGAGAUGUACAAUUGCCCCGUGUUGAAGGACAAGUGCAUUGACUAUAUUGGUAAAAAGAAAGAAUCUAAGAAGCAGCCAGAGUCUUCGUUGGGCUAG